UACGUAGGGGGCGAGCGUUGUCCGGAGUUACUGGGCGUAAAGGGCGCGUAGGCUGUGCUGUAAGUCAGGCGUGAAAGGCCCGGGCUCAACCUGGGAAUGGCGCUUGAUACUGCGGCGCUGGAAGGUGGGAGAGGAUGGCGGAAUUCCCAGUGUAGAGGUGAAAUUCGUAGAUAUUGGGAAGAACACCGGUGGCGAAGGCGGCCAUCUGGCCCACAUUUGACGCUGAGGCGCGAAAGCGUGGGGAGCAAACAGG
rnacentral:rRNA from 1 species